rnacentral:lncRNA from 1 species
CUUAAGUAUAGAAUGGAUUCUGAUAGGAAGCCUCAAGGCCUAUACCUAAGGCCCCACAAAGGCACUUAUUUGGAUUUAUUCUAUUCUGCGGUCUAGAUGGUUUGAGUAUAAGAACGGAUUCUAAUGGGAAGCCUCAAGGCCUACACCUAAGGCCCCAGAAAGGCACCUAUUUGGGUUCGCUCUACCUCUCAGGCUCGGAUAAUCAGAAAUAUAAUAGUUAUAAGACCCCGACAACCAUAAAGACCAAAUAAAUAUGCUCAAGCACUGGUUUAGUUUGACAGGAAGCCUCAAGGCCUAUACCUAAGGCCCCACAAAGGCACCUGUUAUAUCUAACACGGUUUCUCGGGCAUAUGCAUAUUCACAACUAAAACUUGACAUCUAUUCGACAUCUGCCAUAAUGAAGAUGGCAGUGGCACGCCUGAGCACCAAAAUGUUAACCUUGAUUGUGAGCCUCAAGGCCUACACCUAAGGCCCCACAAAGGCACCCUCUCAAAGUUAACGCUGUCCUUCUCUUUCAGCCUUGCCCGAAGAGUUUCGCCCGACGAGUCUUGCCCGACGAGACUUGCCCGACAAAGCCCGACAGGAAAGCAGAAGCCCGACAGUAGUCCUCAACCGACGCCGAACCUCCAGGGGAGCUGUGUGCUCGUCGGCCAGGAAACACCCCCGACGGGAAUUCCUGCCCCGAACAGGAAUACUUGUGAUGGAGGAUGGAAUUGUAAUGAUCUUAAUGGGUCUGGUUUAUGCAGGCCUAGCUAGAUUCAUCAAUCUAUAAAAUUUUGUCUCUAACUCGCCAAUUUCUUGCACAAUGAUUGCCUGUGAAGAAACCCAUGGGGAAGUUUAUUUUAUUCUCAUAUGCUACUUUCAUCCACUUUAUCUGGCUCAUUGUGUGUUUUAGUUCCAAGAAAAAUAAUAAGGAGACUCUCUCAAAAGGGGGAUUUUACGUGAAAUAGCAGAGAGUCCAUGGAUAGUUCCAUUGUUUAGAGAGUCCCCUAAGCAUUUAUCUAGUUCAAAUCUAUAGUUCUUGCCGUAAAUAUUGAAAAUAAGAAGAAGAAAAAACUCAUUUCGUGUUUUUGUUUUGUGAAUGAUGUGCUCUCUUCUCAAAUACAGUACUUUUAGAGACGUCAAAUAGUUUGAUACUCAUUGUGUGUUUUAGUUUAAAGAGAAAUGAUAAGGAGACUCUCACAAAAGUGAGAUUUUAUAUGAAGUGACGGAAAAUCCAUGGAUAGUUCCAUUGGUUAGUGAGUCCCCUUAGCAUUUAUCUAGUUCAAAUCUAUUGUUCUUUGCCGUAAAUAUUGAAAAUAAGAAAGAAAAAAAUAACUCAUUAAUUCUGUGUUUUUUUAUUGGUAAAUGAUGUGCUCUCUUCUCAAAUGUCGAAAUAUUCCAUUUGUUUAUGCUUGGUUUUAGGCAAAUAGAUCCGAAAUAAUCAAUUUUGGCCUAGACCGGUUUGUUUCUUGAGUUUUGCCACUUACAAACUAAACCUCAAACUGCUUACGUAAUAUUAAUUUUUAUUCUACAUAUUCUUUUUCUUUUUUGAAAUCCUACACAAAUAGAAGAAACUAGCUUAGUUACACUUAAGUGUGAAUGCAAAUUUCCGCCAUCUUCUUCUUGGACGAAAAUGCACCUGCAAAACAAUUAACAUCUUAGGUCAAGGCCAAGAGCCUCAUGCGCCCACGAUGAAUUGGGGUAGGGGGGGCUUGGUCGAAGAACUUCUGAUGCCAAAGUUUGAAUUUGAGGGAAAAGUGCUUAGAGAAAUUUGGAGAAUUUUGUAAAAGAGUGGAAUUUGACUUUUGGGA